UACGUAGGUGGCAAGCGUUGUCCGGAUUUAUUGGGUUUAAAGGGUGCGUAGGCGGCUUUGUAAGUCAGUGGUGAAAUAUGGCAGCUCAACUGUCAAGGUGCCAUUGAUACUGCAGAGCUUGAGUACAGAUGAGGUAGGCGGAAUUGACGGUGUAGCGGUGAAAUGCGUAGAUAUCGGAAGGAACAUCAGUGGCGAAAGCGGCUGCCUGGCCAAAUACUGACGCUCAUGUGCGAAAGCGUGGGGAGCAAACAGG
rnacentral:rRNA from 1 species